CCACUUAGCAUUCUGAAUUUUCCACCUUGGCACCCUCCUUUCCUCCUCUCGCUGCAUUUCUACACCCACCUUACUAAUCACAGGAUAGUGAUCACUCCCCAUUAAUAUUUCAUCUAGCACUUCCCAAUUUGUGAUACCUGCCAUCUCAUUGGACAUUAAAGUUAAGUCAAUUGCACUCUCCUUAUUUCGUACACAAUCAUACCUAGUGCCCCUCCCAUCAUUUAAACACACUAACCCUUUAUCUUCUAUAAAUUCUUCCACUAUUGAACCAUUUGAGUCUGUUCUCUUACUCCCCCAUAAAGUGCUAUGUGCAUUGAAAUCCCCACACCACAAUAUUUUCCCUUGCACCUCCCCCAGUACCUUAUUCAGUGUAUCCAUACUCAAUCUCUUGCAUGGGUUAUAGUAAUUGAUAAUUGCUAGCUCAUAUCUUCCUGUCCAGAUUUUUACUGUUAUGGACUCAUGAUCCGUCCCUAUUUGACCUGUAUUAAACCCUAUCCCAUCCUUUAUAAAGGUAGCUACUCCACCACCUAUCCCAUUUUUCCUGUCAUUUCUUACAGCCAUGUACCCAUGUAUUACAAAAUCCCACUGCUCCCUCAUCCAUGUUUCUUGAAUACAUAUAAUAGUAGGCUUGUCCUGUAACCCAGAUAUAAACUUCUUAAAUUCCUGUCCAUUGGUUAUGAGACUUCUUGCAUUCCAUUGCAGUAUACUUAGGACCAUGAUGAUCCUCCAUCCCAUACUGAUGACUGCUGUGAUGGAUUCUGUGAGCUGGACCCCCCUCCUUUCAACAGGUCCUCCACUUCCUCCCACCCAACUGCCUCCAGUCCCAGAUAUUUCUCUGCUGCUCUCACUAUUAUUUUGAUUUUUUCCGUUUUCUUGUCUGUUUGCGCUGUACAGUUAACCACCUCAACCAUGAAUAGUAUGAAAUCUUUCUUCCCCACAACCAUUGUGUCUUCCUUAAUUCUUUUGCAUCCUUCAUGUGUUCUUAUUUCUUGCCUUUCGGUUGUACUGGCAUUACUUUCAGUUGCCUGCACCCUCACCCUUCUGGCUGCCUCAGCAUAUGUGAUUCCAUUCGAUGUUUUCAUUUGCUGCACUUCUGCUGCUCUCUUACUGACUUCACAUCCCCUGUAUGCAGAGGUAUGUUCCCCUCCACAGUUGCAGCACUUAAUUUUAGCUCCAAUUUCACAUUUCCCAUAUUCAUGUUCCCCAGCACAUUUCCCACAUCUUUGUUUCCCCUUACAUACUGCUGCAACAUGCCCAUAUCUCUGGCAUUUAAAGCACCUUAAUGGCGGAGGCACAUAGAGCCUCACACCGUAGCUCAUGUAUCCUAUAUGCACUCUUUCUGGGAUUCUCUCUUCCUCAAACGUAACCAAAACCGACAGACUGUCACAUUUUUCCCCCUCACGUGUUGUUUUCAGGCGCUUUGCUUCCCUCACUUUCGCUCCCUUUAUAUUUUCUUUUAUUUGAUCAAUAGAUACACUUAUCGGCACCCCAAAGAUUACUCCUCGGGUUAUCCCUCCUCCCUUCCUAGCUAGCGUUGCUACCACCUUCUUCCCCUCAAUUUUAUCCACUCUGAUGGCUCUCCCCAACUGUGCGCUGUCUCGACAAAAAAUCAGCAGUGCUCCAUUGCGCAACACUCUCGCACUUUUCACAUCUCCUACUUGUUUAUUUAUUGCUUUUGUAAGGUUUACAGGAUUCCACUCCCCAAACGAGGCGCCUUCUUGCUCCAAUCUAAUGAUUACUUUGUGUUCUUCCUCGUCCUCUCUUGCUUGCUCGCUAUCCGUUUCCUCAGACGCUGUGCCCACUCCUCUCUGUCCCCUAUUAUUUUUGCGUUUGCGCUUAGCUUUUCCCCCUUUCACAACAUUCCAACUUUCAUUUCUCCCGCCACCUAACUCCAUCCCAUCAUUUCCUGACCCGUCACUUCCCUCUUCCAUCUCCUGUCCAUUCACAGUCCGGCUGUGCCAGCCGCCAACCUUGCUCAUCCGUGUCUUCAUUUCUCGUGAUCCUCUCUCCAGCGUUCCUCCGUCGCUUCAGAGUCACCCGUUCGAAAAAUAGUGACACUUUCAAACAAAGUAUUUACCUUAUGUGAGCUUCUAAAUGUCAAUUACUCGUCGGUUUAUUCCACUUAUACCGAAGAAUGAGACAAAGCUUCAGUCGUCGGCAGUUUCGCGCUUUUGCUGCGUCUGCGCGCGCAGCUCUCUCAUUCCCUGUUCCUUUCUGCAGCCGCCAUCAUGUCCCGCCCCCCUACCUGUCUGAUAGGACAACAGGCUGACAGGAAAACCAAUGCCAUUAAAAAAUAUAUAAAGAUUGACAGCUUAAAUCCCACCAAUCUAGGUUGUGGAAAAGCCCACAGACUCCUCUGUGAACAAACUUGUUCGAAUUUCAAUAAACUUUAUUUACACCUCGACAAGACACUGUAGUCUCUAGGCCCACUUUGUUUUAAAUCAUUGGGAACUGAUAAACUUAAACGUUUUAACAUAACAUAUUGUUGUUUUGUUAACAUAAUUAUCUUGUUCAAUGUUGAAAAUGUCUUUCUCACUUAAAGGAACUUUAUUAAAAUGUAUUUUUCAAACCGUUUAAUGUGUGUUUUCUGCCUGAAAUGACAUAUUUUAGACUCGGCUACAUUCUCUAAGAUAAAAUCUGUGCUACAACAAAUCUCUGGUUCCUGUCUUUUUUGUUUGAUGGCACUAAAACUGCUGUUUCACUCUGCUUUACAUCAGCAUAAACUCAGAGAAUAUGCAGCUUAAUCAUAACAGUUACACAAUCAUUGUACUGUGACUAUCAAAACUAAAUUAGUCACUGAGAGGGGAAUGCAAGAAUCUGUCUGACGCACUGAAUCCAAGAAGGACACACGAAGUCUUUACUGCAGCUCGAGGGUAUUUAUUUUCCAUUUCAGUAAAUCAUACUUUCAAACAUGCAUUUGAUACAGAUGUUCUUGCAGAUUUUGACUAUAUGAUGGAAAAAAGCUUUAGCGGUCAACAGAAAUAUCAGCACCCUGCCUCCUCUCUCUCUCUGAACCAAGCAAACAAAUUCAAAAGUAGGCCCAGGUGACAUUCAUUAGACAAUCAGUCAGCCCCAGUGACACAGCCACAUGCGCAUAACCCAGAGUGACGAGUGAGAAAACACAUCCCUGCCUCUACAUUCAUGUUAAUUCUUCAUAUAAAUAAACACCUCGCUGCCAUGCUCCAAGCAGAACAUUGGUCGUAUUUGUCAUCUUGACUUCUUACAGAUUUAUUGUAUAUGCAGAAAAGAUCCAAAACAUGAUGCAUUGGCAGAACUUGAAAUCAGUGAAGCUGGUAAGAGAGUAAUAUUUAGAAAGAAAAAUUGUAUGUGUAUGCUAUCACAUGUGUAUUCUAUCAUUAUAUACAUAUGUUAAUCAUCAUUUACUGAAAAUCACUUGGUGUGAAUGCUUGAAGGGUUAUAUUUUUCCCAGUACAGACCACAGCUGCAACCUGUACCCUAUUUGGAUACUGUUGUACUGUCAUGCCUCUUGUGAAAUGAUGUUAGCGGGUGGGGGUGUCUGUGUCUUGACUGCAUGAAGGAUGUGUAAAAAUCUGAAUUCCUCAGUCAGAGGAAGCUGCCUUUGUUGUAAGCUGCUGACUCCUUGCAAGUAAAAGAUACUGAAGAAAAAGAAGACCUGACUCUCCAUCGUUCUUCACAGCCGGCUGCAAGUCAGAUUCAGUAUUAUUUUUCUGUCAUAUUUGCUGUGACCUCAACAGGUGAAACUCAGAAUGACAACACUCAGUCUAGAAGCUGCACACUGACAGGUACUUGCAUAAAAACAUCUGAUAAAAAUCAUCAAAUUCACGCACCGUUAUGGGCUCUAUGCACUGAUCCACU